rnacentral:rRNA from 1 species
CCUACGGGAGGCUGCAGUGAGGAAUAUUGGUCAAUGGUCGGGAGACUGAACCAGCCAAGCCGCGUGAGGGAUGAAGGUACAGAGUAUCGUAAACCUCUUUUGUCCGGGAACAAACGCGGGGACGCGUCCCCGGCUGAGAGUAUCUUAAGAAAAAGCAUCGGCUAACUCCGUGCCAGCAGCCGCGGUAAUACGGAGGAUGCGAGCGUUAUCCGGAUUUAUUGGGUUUAAAGGGUGCGUAGGCGGAAGGUUAAGUUAGGGGUCAAAUGCCGGUGCUCAACUCCGGCCUGCCGUUGAAACUGGUCUGCUUGAGAGAACGAGAGGUAGGCGGAAUGCGUGGUGUAGCGGUGAAAUGCUUAGAUAUCACGCAGAACACCGAUUGCGAAGGCAGCAUACCG